UCCCGGUGCCACCAACUCGGGCUGUCCCGGUGCCACCGGCUCGGGCUGUCCCGGUGCCACCGCGCUCUCCCACCUGGACCUUGGCCCCUGAUGUCAGUGACCGAGGCUGCUCCGGGGUGGCCGGGCCGGCGUCCGGCUGUUUUAGGUCUGUCUGCUCAUAUAACGGAGACAAGAGCGACUUGCGAAACGCCGAAUCACGAACUGCAGACACUCCUGACCUUGUGGCUUUAGACAGUUUGAAGCUGCGCAGUUAGUGGAGUCGUUCUGACACACAUCUCGAGGCUGUUGGAUAAAGUGUCCUGGAGCUGAGUGUUGCUUGUUAUACGCUAAAAGGAUUAUGUAAUGCAAUAUGCAAAUGUGUAACCAGUUGCCUCUGCAGGGCUGCCCGCAGUGCUAUAAGAUUUUAUAUAUAAAGGCUGUUACUUCACUU